rnacentral:tRNA from 1 species
CGUCGUAGCUCAGUUGGUAGAGCAGAGGACUGAAAAUCCUUGUGUCACUGGUUCAAAUCCAGUCGAUGC